rnacentral:rRNA from 1 species
AUUGAACGCUGGCGGCAUGCCUUACACAUGCAAGUCGAACGGUAACGGGUCCUUCGGGAUGCCGACGAGUGGCGAACGGGUGAGUAAUAUAUCGGAACGUGCCCAGUAGUGGGGGAUAACUGCUCGAAAGAGCAGCUAAUACCGCAUACGACCUGAGGGUGAAAGGGGGGGAUCGCAAGACCUCUCGCUAUUGGAGCGGCCGAUAUCAGAUUAGCUAGUUGGUGGGGUAAAGGCCUACCAAGGCAACGAUCUGUAGUUGGUCUGAGAGGACGACCAGCCACACUGGGACUGAGACACGGCCCAGACUCCUACGGGAGGCAGCAGUGGGGAAUUUUGGACAAUGGGCGCAAGCCUGAUCCAGCAAUGCCGCGUGCAGGAAGAAGGCCUUCGGGCUGUAAACUGCUUUUGUCAGGGAAGAAAUCUUCUGGGCUAAUACCCCGGGAGGAUGACGGUACCCGAAGAAUAAGCACCGGCUAACUACGUGCCAGCCGCCGCGGUAA